GGGGAUUUGAAGCACAGGUGGGCUUGGUAAGGACCCACCAGUGGGAACCUAGGGGGCUGGGUGGAGAGAUUGUGGAGUUCUGAGUCAGAGUCUCCAUGAGAUAAAACAAGUUGACCAAUGCCUGACCAGACCACUGGGGCAGAGAGUUGCUGGCACAAGCAUGGGAACGUGUCAGUUCUUUUUUAAUAUUUCCCACAACAAAUAUAUAUCCUGAUUACAGUUUCCCCUCCCUCUACCCCCCUCCCCGUUCCUCCCUGAAUUUCAGGGUUCAGACUACAAACUGCUUCUGUGUGACUAAGAGAAGAAGAAUCAGAGUAAAGAGAAACAUACUCUCUUAAUCUCCGAAGAUUAACGGCAGGAGGAGCUCUAGAAUUUCACAAAGGUGCUGUCAGGACACAUGAAAAUCUAGAGAAAAAGACCAGCUUGAAGAGACCAAAAAGAAGAAAGCCUGCCAAUCACAAUCCUCCAGAGAUUCUGAGACACACACACCCCUGGUGUAGGGGGACACCAUCUGAAAGGUGACACCCACUCUACGGAAUAUAAGUACCAGCUAAAGAGGACACACACUUGAAGAAAAAGGAGACAAUGAGGUCUUGUGAAUGCUCUAAUUUUUCAAAGCUUACUUUUAAUGAUGGUUCUUAAACGCUUUAACCUCCCUUCUAGUCCACCACCCACCAAAGGUAGUGAAAAGAAAGGUGAUUAGGAUAC
ensembl:processed_transcript Platr14 pluripotency associated transcript 14